rnacentral:rRNA from 1 species
AGUGAACGCUGGCGGUAGGCCUAACACAUGCAAGUCGAACGGCAGCACAGUAAGAGCUUGCUCUUACGGGUGGCGAGUGGCGGACGGGUGAGGAAUACAUCGGAAUCUACUUUUUCGUGGGGGAUAACGUAGGGAAACUUACGCUAAUACCGCAUACGACCUACGGGUGAAAGCAGGGGAUCUUCGGACCUUGCGCGAUUGAAUGAGCCGAUGUCGGAUUAGCUAGUUGGCGGGUGAAAGGCCCACCAAGGCGACGAUCCGUAGCUGGUCUGAGAGGAUGAUCAGCCACACUGGAACUUGGACACGGUCCAAACUCCUGCGGGAGGCAGCAGUGGGGAAUAUUGGCCAAUGGGCGCAAGCCUGAUCCAGCCAUACCGCGUGGGUGAAGAAGGCCUUCGGGUUGUAAAGCCCUUUUGUUGGGAAAGAAAAGCAGCAGGUUAAUACCCCGCUGUUCUGACGGUACCCAAAGAAUAAGCACCGGCUAACUUCGUG